rnacentral:rRNA from 1 species
UACGAAGGGGGCUAGCGUUGCUCGGGAAUCACUGGGCGUAAAGGGUGCGUAGGCGGGUCUUAAGUCAGGGGUGAAAUCCCAGAGCUCAACUCUGGAACUGCCUUUGAUACUGGGUAUCUUGAGUAUGGAAGAGGUAAGUGGAAUUGCGAGUGUAGAGGUGAAAUUCGUAGAUAUUCGCAGGAACACCAGUGGCGAAGGCGGCU